rnacentral:rRNA from 1 species
GAUGAACGCUGGCGGCGUGCCUAAUACAUGCAAGUCGAGCGAACAGACGAGGAGCUUGCUCCUCUGACGUUAGCGGCGGACGGGUGAGUAACACGUGGAUAACCUACCUAUAAGACUGGGAUCACUUCGGGAAACCGGAGCUAAUACCGGAUAAUAUAUUGAACCGCAUGGUUCAAUAGUGAAAGACGGUUUUGCUGUCACUUAUAGAUGGAUCCGCGCCGCAUUAGCUAGUUGGUAAGGUAACGGCUUACCAAGGCGACGAUGCGUAUCCGAACUGAGAGAGGGAUAGGCGACACGAGAGGUGAGACACGGACCAGAGGACUGCGGGACGCAGCAGUAGGGAAUGGGAGGCAGUAGGCGGAAGCCUGACGGAGCGGCGGCGAGUGAGUGAUGAAGGUCUUGGGAUCGGAAAACUCUGUUAUUAGGGAAGAACAAAUGUGGAAGGAAAUAUGCACGUAGUGACGGUAACGGAUCAGAAAGCCACGGCUAACUACGUG